GAUGAACGCUGGCGGCGUGCCUAAUACAUGCAAGUAGAACGCUGAAGCUUGGUGCUUGCACCGAGCGGAUGAGUUGCGAACGGGUGAGUAACGCGUAGGUAACCUGCCUGGUAGCGGGGGAUAACUAUUGGAAACGAUAGCUAAUACCGCAUAACAGUAGAUAUUGCAUGAUAUCUGCUUGAAAGGGGCAAUUGCUCCACUACCAGAUGGACCUGCGUUGUAUUAGCUAGUUGGUGAGGUAACGGCUCACCAAGGCGACGAUACAUAGCCGACCUGAGAGGGUGAUCGGCCACACUGGGACUGAGACACGGCCCAGACUCCUACGGGAGGCAGCAGUAGGGAAUCUUCGGCAAUGGACGGAAGUCUGACCGAGCAACGCCGCGUGAGUGAAGAAGGUUUUCGGAUCGUAAAGCUCUGUUGUAAGAGAAGAACGAGUGUGAGAGUGGAAAGUUCACACUGUGAC
rnacentral:rRNA from 1 species